rnacentral:lncRNA from 1 species
AUUAUGUUGUCAUUUCAAUGUUAUAUUUAACUUUGCCAUUAAAGUGCGAGGUUUGGCAUGCCAUAAAACCAGGUUCAACCCACCACUUUUAUUCCCCUUUAAAAGUGUCCUGUACCAAGUCAGGAAGAUGGCCAUUGUUAUAAUAUUGUUCGUUUCUGUGUGUGUGUUGCAUUUUAACGUUGAGUCGUUUGUGUUUUCUCUUAUUUUUUAGAUAAGACGUGGCACGGUACUUGUCUAUCCCAAAUUCAUGUAUUUGGUUUUGAUGUUAUAUUUGUUAUUCUCGUGGUGUUUUGUCUAUUGCUUGGUCCGUUUCUGUGUGUGUUGCGUUUCGGUGUUGUGUCGUUGUUCUCCUCUUAUAUUUAAUGCGUUUCCCUCGGUUUUAGUUUGUUACCCCGAUUUUGUUUUUUGUCCAUGGAUUUAUGAGUUUUGAACAGCGGUAUACUACUGUUGCCUUUAUUUAUCUAUGUUUCAAAUUUUA